GAGAUUUUAACUCCCACCCCUAACUCCCAAGGCUAGGAUUCUAAACUAAACUAUUCUUUG
rnacentral:tRNA from 1 species